GACGAACGCUGGCGGCGUGCUUAACACAUGCAAGUCGAACGGAAAGGCCCUGCUUGCAGGGUACUCGAGUGGCGAACGGGUGAGUAACACGUGGGUGAUCUGCCCUUCACUUCGGGAUAAGCCUGGGAAACUGGGUCUAAUACCGGAUAGGAGCCAUUUUUAGUGUGAUGGUUGGAAAGUUUUUUCGGUGUAGGAUGAGCUCGCGGCCUAUCAGCUUGUUGGUGGGGUAAUGGCCUACCAAGGCGGCGACGGGUAGCCGGCCUGAGAGGGUGGACGGCCACAUUGGGACUGAGAUACGGCCCAGACUCCUACGGGAGGCAGCAGGGGGGAAUAUUGCACAAUGGGCGCAAGCCUGAUGCAGCGAAGCCGCGUGGGGGAUGACGGCCUUCGGGUUGGAAACUCCUUUCGCUAGGGACGAAGCUUUUUGUGACGGUACCUAGAGAAGAAGCACCGGCUAACUACGUG
rnacentral:rRNA from 1 species